ensembl:lncRNA MIR99AHG mir-99a-let-7c cluster host gene
CUGAAUGCCAUAUUAAGGAGGUUUAGAGAAAAUCUGAAAGAUCUUCAGGAAUUUUACUGGGAUAAUUAUCCAAAUAAAUUGCAAGCAUUCUAUCCAAAUGGAGCUCUUUCUGAGAUGAAGAGAAUUCUCAAUGUCAAGAUUUGAACAAGAAGAGAAUGGAAUACACAAUAUGGACAUCCAUAAAAAUUCAUCAGAGAGCAUUUUACUACUGAGCUGCAAAGGUGUCUGAUGAUUUGUGAGCCUCAAGUGACUACUCUGUGGAAUCAUCUGUCCUUGCCUUUGAAUUAGCUUUCCCUAGGCCAUGAGUCAACAUUAGUAGUUUAUACAUCCAAAUUGGAAUCCACAGAAUUUCAAUUUCAAAACCUCUGUUCUCAGAAAUAUUAGAUGACAAGAGCACCUCAAAGGCAGCAGCCUCAAGGAGCAGCCAUGGCCCCAGACUUGUCGCACGGAUGCAGAAAACUUAAUGGAGGAGGCUGAGGUCAGAAUGGGAAGAGUUUUUAAAAAAUAAAAA